AUAUAGGGCAAUCUGUUUUUAAGUAGGGGUAAAUUACUCUUAAAGAAAAAAAGGAAUCCUAGAUAGUUUUCCAUUCAAGUCAAGAGUCUUGU
rnacentral:pre_miRNA from 1 species